GUAACUAAGUAAGUACUUCUUGAUCUUCAACAAAUUUUGAGUUUCUUUUGUAGAUUGGAGAGUAGGAUUUGAUUUAGGGUUAGGAUUUGAUUUAGGAUUUAGGAUUUGAUUAGGGUUUGAUUUAGGAUUAGGAUUUGAUUUAAGAUUAGGAUUUGGUUAAGAGUUGAUUUAGAGUUUAGGAUUUGAUUAGGAUUUGAUUAGGAUUUGAUUUAGGAUUUGAUUUAGGAUUUAGGAUUUUAUUAGGAUUUAUUUAAGAUUUAAGAUUUAGUUAGUUUUUGAGCUAAAUUUUGAAUGAAUUCUAAUAAGAUUUUAAUUAAGAUUGAAUUGAGAUGUAUUUGAGAUAUAUUUGUGAUCAUUUUAAUAUUUUUAAUUUUUUUUUAUUAUUUCUUUAUAAUUCCUUUGAGAUUUCUUUGAAUUUUAUUAAAGCUUGCUUAGUAUUAUUAUGAUCUAAUUAGAAUUUAGUUAGUAUUCUAUUAGAGUUAGAAUUUUAUUGUUAUAAUUUCUAUUCUAAUUUCUACAGCCAAGUGCUUAGAGUAUUU
rnacentral:lncRNA from 1 species